GAUGAACGCUGACAGAAUGCUUAACACAUGCAAGUCGAUGGGGAAGUGGUGCUUGCACCAUGGCAACCAUGGCGGACGGGUGAGUAACGCGUAAGGGACUUACCUGCAGGACUGGGAUAACAGGGGGAAACUCCUGACAAGACCGGAUAAUGUCAUGGAGCUGCAUGGCUUUAUGAUGAAAGGAGACGCCUGCGGAGAGCCUUGCGUCCUAUUAGCUAGUUGGUGAGGUAAUGGCUCACCAAGGCGAAGAUAGGUAGCCGGCCUGAGAGGGUGGACGGCCACAAGGGGACUGAGAUACGGCCCUUACUCCUACGGGAGGCAGCAGUGGGGAAUAUUGGACAAUGGGGGCAACCCUGAUCCAGCAAUUCUGUGUGCACGAAGAAGGUUUUCGGAUUGUAAAGUGCUUUCAGCAGGGAAGAAGUAAGUGACGGUACCUGCAGAAGAAGUGACGGCUAAAUACGUG
rnacentral:rRNA from 1 species